UUGGAGCCUGGCCUCUUGUCCCGAGGCCGGCCAUCCCCAGGAGAGGGUCCUCGCCCGCUGUCGGGCCAGGCACACGGAAAGAGAAGAGCAUUUCCCGGGCUUAGAGAAGCGAGCCGGUGCCGAGAAAACGGGGACGCAGGCAGCGCGCUGACUUCCAGUCCCCCGGACGGCGUCACUGCGGCGCUUGGAGAGCAAGUGGUAAAGGGCACGUCUCUCCGCUUAACUUCCCGCCGAGGGCCCGGGCUGCUAAAUGAGGGAUGUAAAAAGUGAGCCAGGUCCCUGCCCCAAUAGCUGUGCAGUCUCCCCGGUAGGAAGCAAGGCUUUCAUCUGUUUAACAUUCAAGACAUUUACAGGAAGUAAAUGUGUGAGAGCCACUGGGCUAGGUUGGGACGGGACCCUGCUCUCCGCCCGAUUAGGGAGACAAGGGAUGCAUGAAACACUUCUGAGAGCCGGGGCUCAGAAGUUACAAAGUAGGAAACGGCCCCUUGGACGCAGAAGUCGGGAGAGGAGAGGAAACCACCACAAAGAGCCAUGAUGCAAUGCUGGAUGCCGCGAGAGAGAGAGAGAGAGAGACCACUUUCUGAAAGAAUUCGGGAAAAGAGCUCGCUGCUUUUGUAAAGGAGAGGCCAUUUGGCUGGGACUCGAAAGAUGGGAAGCAUUUGAAUGGGGGGAAAGGGGAGAAAGGCAUAUGCAUAGGGAAAGAACUGCUAGCAUGGUUCUCUGAGAAGGAAAAGGAGCCAAUCCAGUGGAGAAGUGGAGAGGAAAGAAAACAUGAUUGAAACAAAAAGAUUUUUUUUAAAAUAUGUGAACAAGUGCCAAAGGAGUGAAAUAAACUCUUACAUGCUAUAGGAAUUCAGGGGAGGGGUCAAUCAUGGGGAGCUAUUAUAAUCCAAGAAAGCUUUAUGAAGAAAGGCUUCAUGACCUGGACUUGAAGACUGGGCCUGCUUUAAAUGGACAUCAAAGCUUUUUUUUUGUUUUGGGGUGGGUUUUAAAUUGCUUUUUGUUUUCAUAACACAUGCGGGGAUAAUUUUUCACCAUUGACCUUCGCGAAACUUUGUGUUCCAAUCUUCCCCCUUACUCCCCCCCCCAAUCCCUUCCCCUACAUAGGCAUCAAGUAUUUCUGGAAAUAGGCCCCCCAGGCUUCCUUGCAAGUUGGCCCCAAAUCGAACAGAUUGUGCAUGCUGGAAGGACUAGCUGGGCCUCUGCUGCCUAUCCCCUUUUAUGUAUGAUAUGGGAAUGUCUAUAGUGGGAGAGUUGGGGGGGGGGGAGGAGUUAUUCCAUUCUGACUCACUUCUAGAAUGAGACCAGCUAACAUCAUCCCCUUCAGAGGUCUAGGGGUUUCCCAAAGGGUUUGAAGAUAGUUCUGUCAUUAACUCAAACUUCCACCAGUUGUGCUGGCAAUACCAUUAGGUAUCGGUGAUCAACAAGCUCCCCAGUUCCAUUUAACCACUUAAUUAGGGAUAUCUCCUUCGAUGGUACUAUGGCAAAGAUACAAAUUCCCCCUUCCCUUGAAGGAUGGGGGAAUAGUCUUUAUCCCGCCUCCAUUGCUACAUAGCAUUCGUCCCCCUAAAUUUACAUCAGAUGAGUCUUCCUCUCAGAUACCCCUAAGCUGAAUCAGGGCAUCAGGGCUGAACUGGCUGCAAAAACCAACAAAGUCAGAGCCUUUAGGAAAACAGAGGUCAAGAGCCAAGACCCAUUUCAAAGGAUCACAAAAGGGCCCAAGACUUCUCCCCUUGCUAUAUGGUUUCUCACUAUUAGCAAAAGAUCCCAAGACUUCUACCAGAGAACAAAUGGCCAACCUCCUGCUUACUGGUCCUCCUAGGAGGCUCCUACUGUUCAUCAAAGAGCCUCCUGUUCACCAAGAGACGGGCAGAUUGAAACCAGUUACAGAGUGUCUCUGGACAGGCUCCGUCCCUCCCAGACAUCUCUCUUACUGGAAGCUCCCUAGCUGCCUCCAGGUGGAGGGGCCAUCCUCAGGUGCUUUCCACAUGUGCUAAUCCUCCUACAAGCAUGUAGGCAUUUAUCUAUGAACAUCACUAAACAAUACGAGAGGGCAUUGCUAAAUGGUUAAUGAAAUAUGUAAUCGGUGCUACGGAAAUUCAGAGGAGAGACAAGUCCAGGUGGGCCUCAGGGUUAGGAGUCAGGAAGACCUUAGAGAGGAAAUAGGCUUGAAGCCAGUCCUGGAAGGAAUAUGCUCAGUGCUCAAAACAGAGCAGUUGGCGUCCAAGACCAGAGCAGAAUCACUUUCUAACAGGAGGAUUUUGUGCAACUUGCAGCUGAGCCUCAGUUGAAGGGGCAGCGAUACUGCCGGGACCCUGAGUUGAGAAUUGAACAAAGGACAGCCACCAUACGCAAGGCUUCAGUUAAAGUCAACCAGGAACAUCAAAGAAGAGGAACAAAAGAUGUCAUUAAAGAAACACAGGCUAGGAGGGGAAAAAAUGGUGUCAUCAAAAGCAAGAUGACAGCUCCUGGUCCCUAACAAAUGAAAGGAACACAGACAAUGGGAGCGGAGAAAAAAGCAUCCUGGUCUCUUCAGAGUAACCUGGAAGCAGGAGGUACAACGCGCAGCUUGGCCCUGGAAGGGUGAAGCUAGAAAGUGCCUUCUACACUGUACAUGGCGAUGUAGAACUGUGGGAAAAGGCCGCAUGCAAUGGCCGGCUUCAAUAUCCUCAUCUGCAAAAUGGGAACAAGAACAGCACCUCCCUCCCUGCAUUACUGCGAAGACCAAAUGAAACAUAUGUCAAACACCUAAAUGUUACAGCAUGUGAGCACUGGCUGCCUUGUGGUUUGGACACCUUUUGACCAAACAAUAUCAGUCCCGGGGCUGCACCCCCAGAGAGAGCAAAGAACGAGCAAGUGGACUCAUAUGUUCAAAAAUACUAUUAGCAGCCCUUUUUGCGGUGGCAAAGAAUUGGAAACUGAGGGAAAGCCUAUCAAUUGUUCUGUAGUGUACUGUGUGAAGUAAGGAAGGGGAUGGUUUCUGAAAAACCCGGCAAGACACAUAUAAACUGAUGCAAAGUGAAGUGAGCAAACCAGGAAGACAACUUGUAUGAUCACCAACAAUUUAGGAACACCUAAUUAUCUAAAGGACUCGAGGUGAUUCCUGCUGUUCCCCUCCUGGAAGAAAAAAAGGACUUACGG
ensembl:lncRNA